rnacentral:rRNA from 1 species
CAGCCGCCACGGGAAUACGUAGGUGGCAAGCGUUGUCCGGAAUUAUUGGGCGUAAAGGGCUCGCAGGCGGUUUCUUAAGUCUGAUGUGAAAGCCCCCGGCUCAACCGGGGAGGGUCAUUGGAAACUGGGAAACUUGAGUGCAGAAGAGGAGAGUGGAAAUCCACGUGUAGCGGUGAAAUGCGUAGAGAUGUGGAGGAACACCAGUGGCGAAGGCGACUCUCUGGUCUGUAACUGACGCUGAGGAGCGAAAGCGUGGGGAGCGAACAGGAUUAGAUACCCCGGUAGUCCCUGUCUCUUAUAC